GUAGGUGGCAAGCGUUGUCCGGAAUUAUUGGGCGUAAAGCGCGCGCAGGCGGUCCUUUAAGUCUGAUGUGAAAGCCCACGGGCUCAACCGUGGAGGGUCAUUGGAAACUGGGGGACUUGAGUACAGAAGAGGAAAGCGGAAUUCCAAGUGUAGCGGUGAAAUGCGUAGAGAUUUGGAGGAACACCAGUGGCGAAGGCGGCUUUCUGGUCUGUAACUGACGCUGAGGCGCGAAAGCGUGGGGAGCAAACAGGAUUAGAUACCCUGGUAGUCCACGCCGUAAACGAUGAGUGCUAAGUGUUAGGGGGUUUCCGCCCCUUAGUGCUGCAGCUAACGCAUUAAGCACUCCGCCUGGGAGUACGGCCGCAAAGGCUGA
rnacentral:rRNA from 1 species